UAGGGGUCAGGAAUUGUCUCCAUUGGCUGGAGUCAAAUGAGGUAGGCCAACCCAUUUCCCCCUUGCCCUUCCCAUGCUGACAAGCUGGUGGCUUGUGGCUGGNCANCCNCCCNCUCCAAAACACUGCCCUUGAAGCCUGNCAAGAUGGCCAGCCCUGCCCUGACAGCUGUGCAGGCCACACCUGGCUUAAGAAAGCUGACCGUGAGGCUAGGAGGCAGCAGCCUCCCCACAGCCUGCCCAGGUUUAUGUCAUCUGUGACAGCUCUAAGGGCAAAGGGUCCCCAGAAGAACAGGUUGGAGGGAGGAGCCCACAUUUGGGGUUUCUGUAUGGGAAAGGACUGUGGUUCCAAUUCCAAGGUCAACAGCCACAGUUUCAUGGCCAAGAUAGAUUCUUUCGUGAGUGUGUGUGUGCACACCACCACACACCUACAUGUGAAGGGGAAAGAGGAUACUUGGGGAAAAGACACUGAGCCUGGUAUAGCCUAGAGGAGCACUCUAUUUCCCAGUGUAAAACUGCCAGGGACCCAUAUCUGACAGCCUUUGGCAAAUUCUCCAAGUACCCCAAACUGGGGAUGUUUCCAUGCGGAUGCUGGUCCCUAGUUCAAGGCAAUUCAGCAAAGCUUUAUGAAGCAACUUCUCUACAAAAGGCACAACUGAGGGCCCCCAGUGGACUGAGAGCACUGCUGGGACAGCGGGAGGCCUAGCAGCAGAAACCCACGGCCCUGGGGCAGGGGGCACCCCCGCUGCUCCCGCUCACUGCUCCAAGACCUUGAAGGACAGGGGGGUGCCACUCUUGGCAAAGGCCUUCAUCAGACUGCUGGGAUAGAUGCACCCCAGCUUCUCUGGGGUUGGGAAGCCCCAUAUCCUAUAGAGUGACAGGCUCAGCCGGUCCCCGAUAUAGAAGGGACCCACCCAUUUGGCACUGCUGCCAUUCCUGGGGAGGGACAGCAAGAGGACUUGGUCACCCACAUUCCACUCCUUCUCCUGGCUCUCCCGCUUGAAACGCCUGUUCUCGGCCUUUUCACUCACCUUGUCAGCCACCCUCCAGUGGAGCUCCAGCAGCUCCCCCACCAGCUGUAGCAGGAAGACGUCCAUCUUGAGCCCUUCAAUGUUUGCGCUGCUCAUCUCCCACCACAGGGGCUCCGUGAGCCUUGACUCACCCCCGGUCAGGACCUUGAACGGUGUGGCAUCAGUGGAGGAGGCCCUGAAGGCCAGGUGCAACAAAGGCAGGGAGGCCGCCCACUUCUUCCCAUGCAGGAAGAUGAACUCCUUGAGGGCCCUCUUGAAUUCCCAGUAGGCCCCUGAGCUCGUCAGGCAGGGGAACUGGAGGUCCCUACUCAGGGAGGCCACCUGGGCUCCCAGGGCCAGCCCACAGCUCACAAGGACGUGCCGGGCAAACUGGGGCCCCUGGGCUGCCUCCAGCCUCACAGGAACACCCCAUCUUGCAAACACAUGCUGAAGCAGCACCUGGGCCACAGCCGUGUGUGUGUAGGGCUUCAGGGGGAAUGCCUCCACCCACCUGGUGUUUGGGUCAGCCACAAUAAGUACAUGCUUAUGGCCCUCUUCACUUAUGGUGACCGGGCCCACCACCUCGAUCUGCAGGUUCGACCAGGGGGCGGUCGACCUGAGGGGCCAUGGGGACUCAAUAACCUUCAACUCGCUGCCUAUGAGAUUUCGGGGGAUGCAGAACAAGCAGCUCCUGCAGUAAUCUUUCACAUGCUCCUGCAUCCCAGGCCACCACCCCAGCAAACGCAACUUCUUGUAGGUCUCUUCGGGCCUCUGGUGGGCCCCCAAGGGAAUGUCAUGCACAGAGAAAAUCAGAUCCCUCCGGAGUUGCGUCGGGACUACCCAGACCCUGGGCUUCUUAUCUCCCUUGAACAUAAGCAGGCCACUCUCCUUGUCGAGGCUGAGUGAGUUAAAGGCAGAACUAAACGGUGAGGAGCCAGACAGUUUCUGCCCAGCCUGCAGCCUGGCAAUGAUAUCGGCCAGGGUGCUGUCACUCAGCUGUAAUGCCAGCAAAUUGGGCCUCUUGCCCAUGGCAUGGGGACUCACUGUAGGGGCUGGCACAUCCUUUGGCAAACUCCACCACUGCCCACCCCCCUGGGCACCCUGCUUGGCCAGGGUGUCCACUGUCACAGCAAACAGAGAGCCCCGGUAGGAGGUUCGGUAGAUAAACGGAAGGGAUGAGAGGCCAGAGGUGAGGGAUAUAAUGUAGGAGAGCAGGCUUGGGUGAGGGAGUGGAGCCCCAUCAGAGGAGAGGAAGCCCCGAGCCCUCCAGAGGGGCAGGAGCUCCCACAGGAGGCUGAAGAUCCAGUUGCAGUGAGUGAGGAAAACCACUGGGAGUGGGGACUGGCCAAAGCGCUCCAGGCCGCAGGCCACGGCUGCCAGGGUGGGCAUAGGUUGGCGUGUAAGGGGAGCAUGAGAAGGAAAGGGAGACAGGGGGGCUGGUGGGCGAUAGAACAUAGAGACCAAAGCCAGCACACCACUCAUCCUCACGGUAGAAGCAGUAGCCAGACAUGUGGAUGCAGACGAACGUGGACAGGUCAGAGAAAGGCGGCAGAACCUGGAAGAAGCGAGGC
rnacentral:lncRNA from 1 species